AGGAAGACCAUGGGAAGACUAGUCCUGUUAGAAAUGUAAUUUAGAUUUUGUAGGCCUUGGUUUCUUAUCUUUUAUUUACAAUUAACAUUUUACAAUUUAAAUUUAUUUUCUUAAUUGCCAGCAGUCCAGCACGCCAGGAGAAGCAACACCUUUUUGGCAACGUUGUUUAAACCAAUGGUUUUCUUGUUUUCUUAUAAGGAAAGAAAAACUUAAAUAAUCAUUCUUGUCUCAGCUGCUGUUUGAUUCAGGUAGUGGUUGUUCCUUCAUCCUACAGAAAUCUGAUGUCACUCUCACGUGGCGAUGUAAAUUGGGUAAAUUAUAGGGUCACUGACUUGAUAUGGCAGCUGGGAUGAAACCACGAGUAAGUCAAGUCUGGUGCAGGUCUGGUUGUUGAUGGUGGCUUCAUUGCUUGGUUUAUUCAAUACAGGCUGUUCGCUAGUUGGCAAUUUCGAGGGAAACUACGCGGCAUAGUGUGGGUCUGCGUGGAUGGAUUCGGCGGUUAAGUAUCGCAAAACUCUACAACCAGUAUCCGCCGACCUGGGUUUCAUCUGUAUGUUUCCGUGUUCUUUUGAAUUGAUUCACUGUCAUUGGUAGUUAUCAACGGUUUGAUGGCGGGCUGUCCGGUCUUUUACUUAAAAUCAGGGGACAGACACUUUGAUGGUAUGAUACUGUCCAGAUCGUUUCUUCCUGAACAAGUAAGACUGCAUUGCUGGUGUUGGCUUUGGCCUCUCCGCUAGGGCAUCAUUGUGCUUUCUGGCAGUAACAAAAGGAUGAAUGCUUCGGAAUCCUGGCCAUCUGAAGUUGGCGGACUAAAAUGUGGAACACACAUGAUGGUUGGCUGAAUUAAAGGCGACAUUGGUGUAACACACGUUCGGAUAUUAGGUUUUUGAGCGAACUGGCUGAAAUAUUGGUGCCAUCUCAAAUGGAAAGUUGAUUGUUCCCAGGUAUUAAUUUGGCGUACCGGAAAGUUUGGAGUAAGAACAGAAACAAGUUGGUUCACAAGAUUUUAUUUGAGUAAUUUGCUUUCAUGAUCUGUCAGAUUGUUCGAAAUGUUUAAAUUGGGGAUACAAACUUUAGUUUCUGUCGACAGGUUUUAUGAUGUAAACCAAUACAAAUGCUUAACUGUGUAA